CUGGUUGUAGAUGCGAGGAGAAAUGAGGUUAGAAAUGAUAGGUAACAGCCUGACCCUCAUGCUUCUCUCUUGCCACAGACAACAAAAGCAACAGCCGUCUCUCCCCUGGCUCCCUCUGCUCCUGGAGAAGAAGCCAAAGAGGAGCAAAGUCUUUCUAGAGAAAGAGCAGGAGCAGACUGCUUAUCAGAGAUGCCAUGCCAGACUCAGGGAGAGCUGUUCCCAGCCCGAGAGCAGGAAGAGCAGCUCAGGCAGCAGGUGGAAGAGCCACAGGAAAUGACCAGGACAUCAAGGCAGAGCCACAAGCAGAGCUGCCUGAAGCCCAGAGUGCCAUCAUGGUAGUGAAGAGAAAGAACAAGGAAGACAUGAGAAGAAUUCAAGAGGAGAUGAAUCUCCAUCAGCACAGGGGCGACCAACAAAACCAGGUGAGAGAAAGAAUGGCAGCCACUCCACUCAUGAAACUUCCUCUCCAUUGUUGUUUACAAACCAUCGAGGAAGAUGUGCAGGCAGAGCUGCAGGAAUCUGAGGCUAGGAACAAGGCAAGGGAGAAGAGGCUGGAAGAAGAAAUGAAAAUCAUCAGAGAGAAAGAAGGUUCUACAAAAGCGAGUGAAGGAGGGACAGCCACUGCAGUCACCAAACUGGUGCCUUCUGCCCUUCUUGCCUUUCAGUGCAGA